rnacentral:rRNA from 1 species
AUGAACGCUGGCGGCGUGCCUAAUACAUGCAAGUCGAGCGAACAGACGAGGAGCUUGCUCCUCUGACGUUAGCGGCGGACGGGUGAGUAACACGUGGAUAACCUACCUAUAAGACUGGGAUAACUUCGGGAAACCGGAGCUAAUACCGGAUAAUAUAUUGAACCGCCUGGUUCAAUAGUGAAAGACGGUUUUGCUGUCACUUAUAGAUGGAUCCGCGCCGCAUUAGCUAGUUGGUAAGGUAACGGCUUACCAAGGCAACGAUGCGUAGCGGACCUGAGAGGGUGAUCGGCCACACUGGAACUGAGACACGGUCCAGACUCCUACGGGAGGCAGCAGUAGGGAAUCUUCCGCAAUGGGCGAAAGCCUGACGGAGCAGCGCCGCGUGAGUGAUGAAGGUCUUCGGAUCGUAAAACUCUGUUAUUAGGGAAGAACAAAUGUGUAAGUAACUAUGCACGUCUUGACGGUACCUAAUCAGAAAGCCACGGCUAACUACGUG